CAACAAAAAUGUAAAAUGAAAAAAAAAUAUAUGGGGUGUUCAGGCUUCCUAAAAGUAAUACCUGGGUAUUAGGUUAUGGGGCUAUGGUAAGGUUUAAGGUUUUUGGCGUUAGGGUUAAAAUCACUGUCCAAAACCUUUGUAGGAACUCUUUUCCAACCUUUUGGAGUUAGUUACACCAAAAAAAAUGUAAAAUGAAAAAAAAAAAAUAUUUGGGGUUUUUGGGCUUCCUGAAUGUAAUACCCGGGUAUUAGAUUUUAAGGCUAGGGUAAGGUUUAAGUUUUUUGGCGUUAGGGUUAAAAUCACUGUCCAAAACCUUUGUAGGAACUCUUUUCCAACCUUUUGGAGUUGGUUACACCAAAAAAAAUGUAAAAUGAAAAAAAAAUAUUUGGGGUGUUCGGGCUUCCUGAAGGUAAUACCCGGGUAUUAGGUUAUGGGGCUAUGGUAAGGUUUAAGGUUUUUGGCGUUAGGGUUAAAAUCACUGUCCAAAACCUUUGUAGGAACUCUUUUCCAACCUUUUGGAGUUGGUUACACCAACAAAAAUGUAAAAUAAAGAAAAAAAUAUUUUGGGUGUUCGGGCUUCCUGAAGGUAAUACCCGGGUAUUAGAUUUUAAGGCUAGGGUAAGGUUUAAGGUUUUUGGCGUUAGGGUUAAAAUCACUGUCCAAAACCUUUGUAGGAACUCUUUUCCAACCUUUUGGAGUUAGUUAGACCAAAAAAAAUGAAAAAAGAAAAAAAAAUUAUUGGGGGUUUUCGGGCUCCCUGAAAGUAAUACCCGGGUAUUAGGUUUUGGGACUAGGGAAAGGUUUAAGGUUUUUGGCGUUAGGGUUAAAAUCACUGUCCAAAUCCUUUGUAGGAACUCUUUUCCAACCUUUUGGAGUUAGUUAGACAAAAAAAAAAGAAUAAUGAAAAAAAAAUAUUUGGGGUGAUCAGGCUUCCUUAUUGUAAUACCCGGGUAUUAGAUUUUAAUGCCAGGGUUAGGUUUAAGUUUUUUGGCGUUAGGGUUAAAAUCACUGUCCAAAACCUUUGUAGGAACUCUUUUCCAACCUUUUGGAGUUAGUUAGACCAAAAAAAAAAAGAAAAAUGAAAAAAAAAAUAUUUGGGGUGUUCAGGCUUCCUAAAAGUAAUACCCGGGUAUUAGGUUAUGGGGCUAGGGUAAGGUUUAAGGUUUUUGGCGUUAGGGUUAAAAUCACUGUCCAAAACCUUUGUAGGAACUCUUUUCCAACCUUUUGGAGUUGGUUACACCAACAAAAAUGUAAAAUGAAAAAAAAAUAUAUGGGGUGUUCAGGCUUCCUAAAAGUAAUACCUGGGUAUUAGGUUAUGGGGCUAUGGUAAGGUUUAAGGUUUUUGGCGUUAGGGUUAAAAUCACUGUCCAAAACCUUUGUAGGAACUCUUUUCCAACCUUUUGGAGUUGGUUACACCAAAAAAAAUGUAAAAUGAAAAAAAAAAAAUAUUUGGGGUUUUUGGGCUUCCUGAAUGUAAUACCCGGGUAUUAGAUUUUAAGGCUAGGGUAAGGUUUAAGUUUUUUGGCGUUAGGGUUAAAAUCACUGUCCAAAACCUUUGUAGGAACUCUUUUCCAACCUUUUGGAGUUAGUUAGACCAAAAAAAAAAAAGAAAAAUGAAAAAAAAAUAUUUGGGGUGUUCAGGCUUCCUAAAAGUAAUACCCGGGUAUUAGGUUAUGGGGCUAUGGUAAGGUUUAAGGUUUUUGGCGUUAGGGUUAAAAUCACUGUCCAAAACCUUUGUAGGAACUCUUUUCCAACCUUUUGGAGUUGGUUACACCAACAAAAAUGUAAAAUGAAAAAAAAAUAUAUGGGGUGUUCAGGCUUCCUAAAAGUAAUACCUGGGUAUUAGGUUAUGGGGCUAUGGUAAGGUUUAAGGUUUUUGGCGUUAGGGUUAAAAUCACUGUCCAAAACCUUUGUAGGAACUCUUUUCCAACCUUUUGGAGUUAGUUACACCAAAAAAAAUGUAAAAUGAAAAAAAAAAAAUAUUUGGGGUUUUUGGGCUUCCUGAAUGUAAUACCCGGGUAUUAGAUUUUAAGGCUAGGGUAAGGUUUAAGUUUUUUGGCGUUAGGGUUAAAAUCACUGUCCAAAACCUUUGUAGGAACUCUUUUCCAACCUUUUGGAGUUGGUUACACCAACAAAAAUGUAAAAUGAAAAAAAAAUAUUUGGGGUGUUCGGGCUUCCUGAAGGUAAUACCCGGGUAUUAGGUUAUGGGGCUAUGGUAAGGUUUAAGGUUUUUGGCGUUAGGGUUAAAAUCACUGUCCAAAACCUUUGUAGGAACUCUUUUCCAACCUUUUGGAGUUAGUUACACCAACAAAAAUGUAAAAUAAAGAAAAAAAUAUUUUGGGUGUUCGGGCUUCCUGAAGGUAAUACCCGGGUAUUAGAUUUUAAGGCUAGGGUAAGGUUUAAGGUUUUUGGCGUUAGGGUUAAAAUCACUGUCCAAAACCUUUGUAGGAACUCUUUUCCAACCUUUUGGAGUUAGUUAGACCAAAAAAAAUGAAAAAAGAAAAAAAAUUAUUGGGGGUUUUUCGGGCUUCCUGAAAGUAAUACCCGGGUAUUAGGUUUUGGGACUAGGGUAAGGUUUAAGGUUUUUGGCGUUAGGGUUAAAAUCACUGUCCAAAACCUUUGUAGGAACUCUUUUCCAACCUUUUGGAGUUAGUUAGACCAAAAAAAAAAAGAAAAUGAAAAAAAAAAUAUUUGGGGUGAUCAGGCUUCCUUAUUGUAAUACCCGGGUAUUAGAUUUUAAUGCCAGGGUUAGGUUUAAGUUUUUUGGCGUUAGGGUUAAAAUCACUGUCCAAAACCUUUGUAGGAACUCUUUUCCAACCUUUUGGAGUUAGUUAGACCAAAAAAAAAUGAAAAAUGAAAAAACAAUAUUUGGGGUUUUCGGGGUUCCUGAAUGUAAUACCCGGGUAUUAGAUUUUAAGGCUAGGGUAAGGUUUAAGGUUUUUGGCGUUAGGGUUAAAAUCACUGUCCAAAACCUUUGUAGGAACUCUUUUCCAACCUUUUGGAGUUGGUUAGACCAAAAAAAAUAUAAAAUGAAGAAAAAAAUAUUUGGGGUGUUCAGGCUUCCUGAAGGUAAUACCCGGGUAUUAGAUUUUAAGGCUAGGGUAAGGUUUAAGGUUUUUGGCGUUAGGGUUAAAAUCACUGUCCAAAACCUUUGUAGGAACUCUUUUCCAACCUUUUGGAGUUGGUUACACCAACAAAAAUGUAAAAUGAAGAAAAAAAUAUUUGGGGUGUUCAGGCUUCCUGAAGGUAAUACCCGGGUAUUAGGUUUUGGGACUAGGGAAAGGUUUAAGGUUUUUGGCGUUAGGGUUAAAAUCACUGUCCAAAACCUUUGUAGGAACUCUUUUCCAACCUUUUGGAGUUAGUUAGACCAAAAAAAAAAGAAAAAUGAAAAAAAAAUAUUUGGGGUGUUCAGGCUUCCUAAAAGUAAUACCCGGGUAUUAGGUUAUGGGGCUAGGGUAAGGUUUAAGGUUUUUGGCGUUAGGGUUAAAAUCACUGUCCAAAACCUUUGUAGGAACUCUUUUCCAACCUUUUGGAGUUAGUUAGACCAAAAAAAAAGAAAAAUGAAAAAAAAAAUAUUUGGGGUGUUCAGGCUUCCUAAAAGUAAUACCCGGGUAUUAGGUUAUGGGGCUAUGGGAAGGUUUAAGGUUUUUGGCGUUAGGGUUAAAAUCACUGUCCAAAACCUUUGUAGGAACUCUUUUUCAACCUUUUGGAGUUAGUUAGACCAAAAAAAAAAUGAAAAAUGAAAAAAAAAAUAUUUGGGGUUUACGGGCUUCCUGAAUGUAAUACCCGGGUAUUAGAUUUUAAGGCUAGGGUAAGGUUUAAGUUUUUUGGCGUUAGGGUUAAAAUCACUGUCCAAAACCUUUGUAGGAACUCUUUUCCAACCUUUUGGAGUUAGUUAGACCAAAAAAAAAAAGAAAAAUGAAAAAAAAAUAUUUGGGGUGUUCAGGCUUCCUACAAGUAAUACCUGGGUAUUAGGUUAUGGGGCUAUGGUACGGUUUAAGGUUUUUGGCGUUAGGGUUAAAAUCACUGUCCAAAACCUUUGUAGGAACUCUUUUCCAACCUUUUGGAGUUAGUUAGACCAAAAAAAAUGUAAAAUGAAAAAAAUAUAUAUUUGGGGUGUUCGGGCUUCCUCAAAGUAAUACCCAGGUAUUAGGUUAUGGGGCUAUGGUAAGGUUUAAGGUUUUUGGCGUUAGGGUUAAAAUCACUGUCCAAAACCUUUGUAGGAACUCUUUUCCAACCUUUUGGAGUUGGUUACACCAAAAAAAAUGUAAAAUGAAAAAAAUAUAUAUUUGGGGUGUUCAGGCUUCCUAAAAGUAAUAACCAGGUAUUAGGUUAUGGGGCUAUGGUAAGGUUUAAGUUUUUUUGGCGUUAGGGUUAAAAUCACUGUCCAAAACCUUUGUAGGAACUCUUUUCCAACCUUUUGGAGUUAGUUAGACCAAAAAAAAAUGAAAAAUUAAAAAACAAUAUUUGGGGUUUUCGGGGUUCCUGAAUGUAAUACCCGGGUAUUAGAUUUUGAGGCUAGGGUAAGGUUUAAGUUUUUUGGCAUUAGGGUUAAAAUCACUGUCCAAAACCUUUGUAGGAACUCUUUUCCAACCUUUUGGAGUUGGUUACACCAAAAAAAAAAGAAAAAUGAAAAAAAAAUAUUUGGGGUGUUCAGGCUUCCUGAAGGUAAUACCCGGGUAUUAGGUUUUGGGACUAGGGAAAGGUUUAAGGUUUUUGGCGUUAGGGUUAAAAUCACUGUCCAAAACCUUUGUAGGAACUCUUUUCCAACCUUUUGGAGUUAGUUAGACCAAAAAAAAAAAGAAAAAUGAAAAAAAAAUAUUUGGGGUGUUCAGGCUUCCUAAAAGUAAUACCCGGGUAUUAGGUUAUGGGGCUAGGGUAAGGUUUAAGGUUUUUGGCGUUAGGGUUAAAAUCACUGUCCAAAACCUUUGUAGGAACUCUUUUCCAACCUUUUGGAGUUAGUUAGACCAAAAAAAAAAGAAAAAUGAAAAAAAAAUAUUUGGGGUGUUCAGGCUUCCUAAAAGUAAUACCCGGGUAUUAGGUUAUGGGGCUAUGGGAAGGUUUAAGGUUUUUGGCGUUAGGGUUAAAAUCACUGUCCAAAACCUUUGUAGGAACUCUUUUCCAACCUUUUGGAGUUAGUUAAACCAAAAAAAAAAUGAAAAAUGAAAAAAAAAAUAUUUGGGGUGUUCAGGCUUCCUGAAGUAAUACCCGGGUAUUAGAUUUUAAGGCUAGGGUAAGGUUUAAGGUUUUUGGCGUUAGGGUUAAAAUCACUGUCCAAAACCUUUGUAGGAACUCUUUUCCAACCUUUUGGAGUUAGUUAGACCAAAAAAAAAUGAAAAAUGAAAAAAAAAAUAUUUGGGGUUUACGGGCUUCCUGAAAGUAAUACCCGGGUAUUAGAUUUUAAGGCUAGGGUAAGGUUUAAGUUUUUUGGCGUUAGGGUUAAAAUCACUGUCCAAAACCUUUGUAGGAACUCUUUUCCAACCUUUUGGAGUUAGUUAGACCAAAAAAAAAAAGAAAAAUGAAAAAAAAAUUAUUGGGGUGUUCAGGCUUCCUAAAAGUAAUACCUGGGUAUUAGGUUAUGGGGCUAGGGUAAGGUUUAAGGUUUUUGGCGUUAGGGUUAAAAUCACUGUCCAAAACCUUUGUAGGAACUCUUUUCCAACCUUUUGGAGUUAGUUAGACCAAAAAAAAUGAAAAAAGAAAAAAAAAAUUAUUGGGGGUUUUCGGGCUCCCUGAAAGUAAUACCCGGGUAUUAGAUUUCAAGGCUAGGGUAAGGUUUAAGGUUUUUGGCGUUAGGGUUAAAAUCACUGUCCAAAACCUUUGUAGGAACUCUUUUCCAACCUUUUGGAGUUAGUUAGACCAAAAAAAAUGAAAAAUGAAGAAAAAAAUAUUUGGGGUGUUCAGGCUUCCUGAAUGUAAUACCCGGGUAUUAGGUUUUGGGGCUAGGGUAAGGUUUAAGUUCUUUGGCGUUAGGGUUAAAAUCACUGUCAAAACCUUUGUAGGAACUCUUUUCCAACCUUUUGGAGUUAGUUAGACCAAAAAAAGAAAAAAAAAAAAUAUUAUUGGGGGUUUUCGGGCUCCCUGAAAGUAAUACCCGGGGAUUCGGUUUUGGGACUAGGGAAAGGUUUAAGGUUUUUGGCGUUAGGGUUAAAAUCACUGUCCAAAACCUUUGUAGGAACUCUUUUCCAACCUUUUGGAGUUAGUUAGACCAAAAAAAAAAGAAAAAUGAAAAAAAAAUAUUUGGGGUGUUCAGGCUUCCUAAAAGUAAUACCCGGGUAUUAGGUUAUGGGGCUAGGGUAAGGUUUAAGGUUUUUGGCGUUAGGGUUAAAAUCACUGUCCAAAACCUUUGUAGGAACUCUUUUCCAACCUUUUGGAGUUAGUUAGACCAAAAAAAAAAGAAAAAUGAAAAAAAAAUAUUUGGGGUGUUCGGGCUUCCUGAAUGUAAUACCCGGGUAUUAGAUUUUAAGGCUAGGGUAAGGUUUAAGUUUUUUGGCGUUAGGGUUAAAAUCACUGUCCAAAACCUUUGUAGGAACUCUUUUCCAACCUUUUGGAGUUAGUUAGACCAAAAAAAAAAAAGAAAAAGAAAAAAAAAUUAUUGGGGGUUUUCGGGCUUCCUGAAAGUAAUACCCGGGUAUUAGGUUUUGGGGCUAGGGUAAGGUUUAAGGUUUUUGGCGUUAGGGUUAAAAUCACUGUCCAAAACCUUUGUAGGAACUCUUUUCCAACCUUUUGGAGUUAGUUAGACAAAAAAAAAAGAAUAAUGAAAAAAAAAUAUUUGGGGUGUUCAGGCUUCCUUAAUGUAAUACCCUUAAUGUAAUAAUUAGAUUUUAAUGCAAGGGUAAGGUUUAAGGUUUUUGGCGUUAGGGUUAAAAUCACUGUCCAAAACCUUUGUAGGAACUCUUUUCCAACCUUUUGGAGUUAGUUAGACCAAUAAAAAAUGAAAAAAGAAAAAAAAGAUAUUUGGGGUUUUCGGGCUUCCUGGAAGUAAUACCCGAGUAUUAAGUUUUGGGGCUGGAAAAAGGUUUAAGGUUUUUGGCGUUAGGGUUAAAAUCACUGUCCAAAACCUUUGUAGGAACUCUUUUCCAACCUUUUGGAGUUAGUUAGACCAAAAAAAAAAAGAAAAAUGAAAAAAAAAUAUUUGGGGUGUUCAGGCUUCCUAAAAGUAAUACCCGGGUAUUAGGUUAUGGGGCUAUGGUAAGGUUUAAGGUUUUUGGCGUUAGGUUUAAAAUCACUGUCCAAAACCUUUGUAGGAACUCUUUUCCAACCUUUUGGAGUUAGUUAGACCAAAAAAAAAAAUGAAAAAUUAAAAAACAAUAUUUGGGGUUUUCGGGGUUCCUGUAUGUAAUACCCGGGUAUUAGAUUUUAAGGCGAGGGAAAGGUUUAAGUUUUUUGGCGUUAGGGUUAAAAUCACUGUCCAAAACCUUUGUAGGAACUCUUUUCCAACCUUUUGGAGUUAGUUAGACCAAAAAAAAAUGAAAAAUGAAAAAAAAAUAUUUGGGGUGUUCAGGCUUCCUGAAGGUAAUACCCGGGUAUUAGAUUUUAAGGCUAGGGUAAGGUUUAAGUUUUUUGGUGUUAGGGUUAAAAUCACUGUCCAAAACCUUUGUAGGAACUCUUUUCCAACCUUUUGGAGUUAGUUAGACCAAAAAAAAAAUGAAAAAUUAAAAAACAAUAUUUGGGGUUUUUCGGGGUUCCUGAAUGUAAUACCCGGGUAUUAGAUUUUAAGGCUAGGGUAAGGUUUAAGGUUUUUGGCGUUAGGGUUAAAAUCACUGUCCAAAACCUUUGUAGGAACUCUUUUCCAACCUUUUGGAGUUAGUUAGACCAAAAAAAUGAAAAAAGAAAAAAAUAUUUGGGGUGUUCAGGCUUCCUGAAGGUAAUACCCGGGUAUUAGGUUAUGGGGCUAGGGUAAGGUUUAAGGUUUUUGGCGUUAGGGUUAAAAUCACUGUCCAAAACCUUUGUAGGAACUCUUUUCCAACCUUUUGGAGUUAGUUAGACCAAAAAAAAAUGUAAAAUGAAAAAAAAAUAUAUUUGGGGUGUUCAGGCUUCCUAAAAGUAAUACCCGGGUAUUAGGUUAUGGGGCUAUGGUAAGGUUUAAGGUUUUUGGCGUUAGGGUUAAAAUCACUGUCCAAAACCUUUGUAGGAACUCUUUUCCAACCUUUUGGAGUUAGUUAGACCAAAAAAAAUGAAAAAUUAAAAAACAAUAUUUGGGGUUUUCGGGGUUCCUGAAUGUAAUACCCGGGUAUUAGAUUUUAAGGCUAGGGAAAGGUUUAAGUUUUUUGGCAUUAGGGUUAAAAUCACUGUCCAAAACCUUUGUAGGAACUCUUUUCCAACCUUUUGGAGUUGGUUACACCAACAAAAAUGUAAAAUGAAGAAAAAAAUAUUUGGGGUGUUCAGGCUUCCUGAAGGUAAUACCCGGGUAUUAGAUUUUAAGGCCAGGGUAAGGUUUAAGUUUUUUGGUGUUAGGGUUAAAAUCACUGUCCAAAACCUUUGUAGGAACUCUUUUCCAACCUUUUGGAGUUAGUUAGACCAAAAAAAAAAAGAAAAAUGAAAAAAAUAUUAUUGGGGGUUUUCGGGGUUCCUGAAUGUAAUACCCGAGUAUUAGAUUUUAAGGCUAGGGUAAGGUUUAAGGUUUUUGGCGUUAGGGUUAAAAUCACUGUCCAAAACCUUUGUAGGAACUCUUUUCCAACCUUUUGGAGUUAGUUAGACCAAAAAAAAAUGAAAAAUGAAAAAAAAAAUAUUUGGGGUUUACGGGCUUCCUGAAUGUAAUACCCAGGUAUUAGAUUUUAAGGCCAGGGUAAGGUUUAAGUUUUUUGGCGUUAGGGUUAAAAUCACUGUCCAAAACCUUUGUAGGAACUCUUUUCCAACCUUUUGGAGUUAGUUAGACCAAAAAAAAUGUAAAAUGAAGAAAAAAAUAUUUGGGGUGUUCAGGCUUCCUGAAGGUAAUACCCGGGUAUUAGGUUUUGGGACUAGGGAAAGGUUUAAGGUUUUUGGCGUUAGGGUUAAAAUCACUGUCCAAAACCUUUGUAGGAACUCUUUUCCAACCUUUUGGAGUUAGUUAGACCAAAAAAAAAAGAAAAAUGAAAAAAAAAUAUUUGGGGUGUUCAGGCUUCCUAAAAGUAAUACCCGGGUAUUAGGUUAUGGGGCUAGGGUAAGGUUUAAGGUUUUUGGCGUUAGGGUUGAAAUCACUGUCCAAAACCUUUGUAGGAACUCUUUUCCAACCUUUUGGAUUUAGUUAGACCAAAAAAAAAGAAAAAUGAAAAAAAGAAUAUUUGUGGUGUUCAGGCUUCCUAAAAGUAAUACCCGGGUAUUAGGUUAUGGGGCUAUGGUAAGGUUUAAGGUUUUUGGCGUUAGGGUUAAAAUCACUGUCCAAAACCUUUGUAGGAACUCUUUUCCAACCUUUUGGAGUUAGUUAGACCAAAAAAAAAGAAAAAUGAAAAAAAAAUAUUUGGGGUGUUCAGGCUUCCUAAAAGUAAUACCCGGGUAUUAGGUUAUGGGGCUAUGGGAAGGUUUAAGGUUUUUGGCGUUAGGGUUAAAAUCACUGUCCAAAACCUUUGUAGGAACUCUUUUCCAACCUUUUGGAGUUAGUUAAACCAAAAAAAAAAUGAAAAAUGAAAGAAUGUAUAUUUGGGGUUUUCGGGCUUCCUGAAUGUAAUACCCGGGUAUUAGAUUUUAAGGCUAGGGUAAGGUUUAAGGGCUUUUGGCGUUAGGGUUAAAAUCACUGUCCAAAACCUUUGUAGGAACUCUUUUCCAACCUUUUGGAGUUAGUUAGACCAAAAAAAAAUGAAAAAUAAAAUAAAAAAUAUUUGGGGUUUCCCGGCUUCCUGAUUGUAAUACCCGGGUAUUAGAUUUUAAGGCCAGGGUAAGGUUUAAGGUUUUUGGCGUUAGGGUUAAAAUCACUGUCCAAAACCUUUGUAGGAACUCUUUUCCAACCUUUUGGAGUUAGUUAGACCAAAAAAAAAAGAAAAAUGAAAAAAAAAUAUUUGGGGUGUUCAGGCUUCCUGAAAGUAAUACCCGGGUAUUAGAUUUUAAGGCUAGGGUAAGGUUUAAGGUUUUUGGCGUUAGGGUUAAAAUCACUGUCCAAAACCUUUGUAGGAACUCUUUUCCAACCUUUUGGAGUUAGUUAGACCAAAAAAAAAUGAAAAAAGAAAAAAAAAUAUUUGGGGGUGUUCGGGCUUCCUGAAAGUAAUACCUGGGUAUUAGGUUAUGGGGCUAGGGUAAGGUUUAAGGUUUUUGGCGUUAGGGUUAAAAUCACUGUCCAAAACCUUUGUAGGAACUCUUUUCCAACCUUUUGGAGUUAGUUAGACCAAAAAAAAAUGUAAAAUGAAGAAAAAAAUAUUUGGGGUGUUCAGGCUUCCUGAAGGUAAUACCCGGGUAUUAGAUUUUAAGGCUAGGGUAAGGUUUAAGUUUUUUGGCGUUAGGGUUAAAAUCACUGUCCAAAACCUUUGUAGGAACUCUUUUCCAACCUUUUGGAGUUAGUUAGACCAAAAAAAGAAAAAAAAAAAAAAUAUUUGGGGUGUUCGGGCUCCCUGAAAGUAAUACCCGGGGAUUCGGUUUUGGGACUAGGGAAAGGUUUAAGGUUUUUGGCGUUAGGGUUAAAAUCACUGUCCAAAUCCUUUGUAGGAACUCUUUUCCAACCUUUUGGAGUUAGUUAGACCAAAAAAAAAGAAAAAUGAAAAAAAAAUAUUUGGGGUGUUCAGGCUUCCUAAAAGUAAUACCCGGGUAUUAGGUUAUGGGGCUAUGGUAAGGUUUAACGUUUUGGCGUUAGGUUUAAAAUCACUGUCCAAAACCUUUGUAGGAACUCUUUUCCAACCUUUUGGAGUUAGCUAGACCAAAAAAAAAAGAAAAAUGAAAAAAAAAUAUUUGGGGUGUUCAGGCUUCCUGAAUGUAAUACCCGGGUAUUAGAUUUUAAGGCUAGGGUAAGGUUUAAGUUUUUUGGCAUUAGGGUUAAAAUCACUGUCCAAAACCUUUGUAGGAACUCUUUUCCAACCUUUUGGAGUUAGUUAGACCAAAAAAAAUGAAAAAAGAAAAAAAAUAUAUUGGGGGUUUUCGGGCUCCCUGAAAGUAAUACCCGGGUAUUAGGUUUUGGGACUAGGGAAAGGUUUAAGGUUUUUGGCGUUAGGGUUAAAAUCACUGUCCAAAUCCUUUGUAGGAACUCUUUUCCAACCUUUUGGAGUUAGUUAGACAAAAAAAAAAGAAUAAUGAAAAAAAAAUAUUUGGGGUGUUCAGGCUUCCUUAAUGUAAUACCCUUAAUGUAAUAAUUAGAUUUUAAUGCCAGGGUAAGGUUUAAGGUUUUUGGCGUUAGGGUUAAAAUCACUGUCCAAAACCUUUGUAGGAACUCUUUUUCAACCUUUUGGAGUUAGUUAGACCAAAAAAAAUGAAAAAAGAAAAAAAAAUAUUGGGGGUUUUCGGGCUUCCUGAAAGUAAUACCCGGGUAUUAGGUUAUGGGGCUAGGGUAAGGUUUAAGGUUUUUGGCGUUAGGGUUAAAAUCACUGUCCAAAACCUUUGUAGGAACUCUUUUCCAACCUUUUGGAGUUAGUUAGACCAAAAAAAAAUGAAAAAUGAAAAAAAAAUAUUUGGGGUGUUCAGGCUUCCUGAAGGUAAUACCUGGGUAUUAGAUUUUAAGG